UAGGGAAUCUUCCACAAUGGACGCAAGUCUGAUGGAGCAACGCCGCGUGAGUGAAGAAGGUUUUCGGACCGUAAAGCUCUGUUGUUGGUGAAGAAGGAUAGAGGUAGUAACUGGCCUUUAUUUGACGGUAAUCAACCAGAAAGUCACGGCUAACUACGUGCCAGCAGCCGCGGUAAUACGUAGGUGGCAAGCGUUGUCCGGAUUUAUUGGGCGUAAAGCGAGCGCAGGCGGAAGAAUAAGUCUGAUGUGAAAGCCCUCGGCUUAACCGAGGAAUUGCAUCGGAAACUGUUUUUCUUGAGUGCAGAAGAGGAGAGUAGAACUCCAUGUGUAGCGGUGGAAUGCGUAGAUAUAUGGAAGAAUACCAGUGGCGAAGGCGGCUCUCUGGUCUGCAACUGACGCUGAGGCUCGAAAAGCAUGGGUAGCGAACAGGAUUAGAUACCCUGGUAGUCCA
rnacentral:rRNA from 1 species